CAGAGGCCUCGAGCGUUAGGCGGAAUCACUGGGCUUAAAGCGUGUGUAGGCGGAUCGUUAAGUGUCUUGUGAAAUCCCCCGGCUCAACCGGGGAACUGCUGGGCAUACUGGCGAUCUUGGGCCAUUCAGGGGCGACUGGAACAAGCGGUGGAGCGGUGAAAUGCGUAGAUAUCGCUUGGAACGCCGAAGGUGAAAACAGGUCGCUGGGGAUGUGCCGACGCUGAGACACGAAAGCCAGGGGAGCAAACGGGAUUAGAUACCCCGGUAGUCCUGGCCCUAAACGAUGUCCACUAGAUUAUGGCGCCUUUGACGGCGUCAUGGUCGAAGCAAAAGUGUUAAGUGGACCGCCUGGGAAGUACGGUCGCAAGGCUA
rnacentral:rRNA from 1 species